rnacentral:rRNA from 1 species
ACCCGCUGAACUUAAGCAUAUCAAUAAGCGGAGGAAAAGAAACCAACAGGGAUUGCCUCAGUAACGGCGAGUGAAGCGGCAACAGCUCAGAUUUGAAAUCUGGCCCCAUGCGGGGUCCGAGUUGUAGUCUGGAGAGGAUGCUUCGGGGGCGCGGCUGGGUCUAAGUUCCUUGGAACAGGACGUCAGAGAGGGUGAGAAUCCCGUCUGCGGUCCGGCCUCGUCCCCGGGUGAAGCUCCCUCGACGAGUCGAGUUGUUUGGGAAUGCAGCUCAAAUUGGGUGGUAAAUCUCAUCUAAAGCUAAAUACCGGCCAGAGACCGAUAGCGCACAAGUAGAGUGAUCGAAAGAUGAAAAGCACUUUGGAAAGAGAGUUAAACAGCACGUGAAAUUGUUGAAAGGGAAGCGCUUGCGAUCAGACUUGACCGCGAUCCCUCAGCCGUGGGUCUCCCCAUGGUGCACUGGGUCGCGGUCAGGCCAGCAUCGGUUUGGGCGGCGGGAAAAAGACCCCGGGAAUAACCCCACCCGCAGGGGUGAGGUGCCUGGGGUGUCACGCCGUCGCCCGGACCGAGGCCCGCGCUCCGGCAAGGAUGCUGGCGUAAUGGUCGU